rnacentral:rRNA from 1 species
CGAAACUAUUUGAUAAAUUUAUCUUUAGAUUGGAUCUUAUGAAUAAAAAGGGCUUUUUUCAAAAAGGGAUUUAUAGCAUAGAUAUUAUUAUCGGAAAUAGUCUAUAGCUUAUAAAGGAGGGAGGAUUUCAGAAUAAUAUUAUAUAGGUAAAUUCUAUAUUUAGGUUAUAGUGUAUAUUGUAAUUGUAAAAAAUUUAAGAUGAGAAGUUUCUAAAAUUUAAAAGUGUUUUUACUUUUAAUAAUGUACUAAUUAAUCACUUAUAAAAUUUCUUCUAUAAUAACUAGUAUGAGAUUAUGCUGGAAUUAGUAAAUGAAUGGAGAUAUAAUAACUAAUUUCUAGCUCCAACUGUUUAGCAAAAACAUUUCCUUUACGAAUAUAUUAAAGGUAAAGCCUGCUCAGUGAUAGUAAUAUAAUAAAUAGCCGCGGUAUUUUAACUGCGCGAAGGUAGCAUAAUUAAUUGUCUUUUAAUUGGUGACUUGUUUGAAUGGCUUAAUGAGGGUUAAAUUUUCUUUAUUUUCUUUUGAAUUUAUUAUCUUGGGUUAAAAAACCUAGAUUGGUCAAAAAGAAGAGAAGACCCUGAUGAGUUUUACAAUCAUCAUUGUUUGAAUGGGGCUUUACAAUUUUUUAUAUAUUUUGUGUCAGAUCCUACCUUGAGGAAAAAGGACAAAAUUACCACAGGGAUAACAGGACAAAACUUGUUGAGAGUACAUAUCUAAGCAAGGAACUGUUACUUCGAUGUUGAAUCAAAGUAAACUUUUAGGCGCAGAAGUUUUUGGAGUGGGUCUGUUCGACCUUUGAUACUUUAC